UACGUAGGGCGCGAGCGUUGUCCGGAAUUAUUGGGCGUAAAGAGCUCGUAGGCGGCUGGUUGCGUCUGCUGUGAAAUCCCGGGGCUUAACCCCGGGCGUGCAGUGGAUACGGGCCGGCUGGAGGCAGGCAGGGGAGAAUGGAAUUCCCGGUGUAGCGGUGAAAUGCGCAGAUAUCGGGAGGAACACCGGUGGCGAAGGCGGUUCUCUGGGCCUGUAUUGACGCUGAGGAGCGAAAGCGUGGGGAGCGAACAGG
rnacentral:rRNA from 1 species